CAGGCAGCCAUCAGAAGCCAACAGGAUCCUAGCCCGCAGGAGACAAUGCUUUUAAUCUGGUUGCUAACACUGCAAGAUCAACUCACAGAGCUUCAACUUCUCCCUUUGUAAAAUGGAGGACAGUUAUUACCAUCUUUAAUACCAUCUAAAAGAUUGUCAUACUCAGAGGUUUUUCCCUUCUAAAACUCUCUCCAGCUACACUGAAAGGGAAGAAGGUAAAAGGCUAGUGCUCUUCGGAUGUUGAGCGUGUGAAGAGAAGCCUUCCUGUUGUUGGCAUGUGGUUUCGGGAAAAACACAUGGACAUAGAUGCCGAGAGUCUUUAAGGUGGCCUGGGAAUCCUUUAAAGUAUGCAAGGACACAUCGGUGGAUUCGGCAAACAGUUUCUGACCCUCAAAGGGGAGGUCCUCAACCACAGCCUGCACCUCUCUUGGGAAUCCUGAUAGGUGGUGCCAAGA